CUAAUAAUUAACCGAUUAAUUUGUAACAAUUAACGAAAAGAAUAAAAAAAAAUUAAUUAUUCUAUUGGUCGUUUAUUCGGGUUACGCAGAGAUGGCGCCACUUUUUCCGUAAAUUUUCUCUUCAUUUCAACAAGAACGUAAUUAAAGUAAACAUUUGGUUUUUCAGUUACAACAAUUAACGUUUUUAAUUUGAAUCAUCAUUUGUGUCACCAAUGGAAUUAAAUAUUAAAUUGGACUAGCAACUUGUUAGAAUAUGCUGAUAAAUGGCUGUUUCAAUCUCCAGAGGAAAAGUGAUUUACCGGUUUGGAGAUUUUUGUUUUUCUCUUUGGGGAAGAAAAAAAAUCUCUGGUUUUUUUUUCUAGUUUUAAUUGUUUACUUUUGCAAUUUUUUUCUAGAUUUGAUCAACUGAUUGUCAAUGGUAUUUACUUUCUUUGAUAGAGUAUCACAUGAAUGGCCUAAACAAAUAUAUUGUAAACCUAUGAAUUGGUUUGGUAACAUUGAGGUAAAAAAAAAAGAUUAUGGACAAAUUUGUUCAAUGACAACAGAGGUAUUCAAACAUAUAGGAAACUACAAAUUUCUCACUUGUUGGUAUUACGGUUUCAUAUCCUAAAGCGUAAACAAGGAAAAAGGUACUGAGGUUCAAAAGGAAAGAACGAAAUUUGUUUAGGAAGCUUAAUCAAUUUACUUCAAUUUAGCUUGGAUAAUAAUAACACCCUUUGAGUUGAUUUAUGUGGUUUAGUGGUACAAACAACAGUAAACCAACAAAAUUCAACGUAAUUGAACCGAAUGAGAGAAAAGAAUAGUUUGAAGAGGAAAGUUAUCACAAAGUACCUUGAGCAUCUUAUUAGAUAAUAAUCAGGACACAAGAAAACCCGAUUUUAGGUGAAAAUAAAGAAGAAACGAGAUUUUCAUGUCUAAUUCAUUACCAAUUCUUAGCGAUAUAAAGCAAGUGUGACUAUCAUCACCAUAAAAUAACAACAACAAGGUUAACCAAAAUGUACUUUUAACACACUUACAGUUGCUAACUGAGCAAAUUGGAUAGACCAGUGGAGGGAAAUGAUAAUAAUGGAAACAAAGGAUUUUCUAUGGGAAGAUGAUUGUUUUGAUGAUGAAUUAAGUCAAUUAACAUACACACACUCACACUAAAUAAUAGGCAACGUUUAUGUUUAAAGGAACACAAAGAAACUCAAUCAAUUUGAAUAAUCUCAAUGGGAUCUGUUGUGGAAACGAUUAUCAAUAUUUGAAGGUUUACAAUUAAAUUUCAAUAAUCUCAGGAUCCAGACAUCGUUAAAUUUGGGUUGAUUAAGUUUCGUUUCAUUCAAUCUCAAUAACAACAACAACAACAACAAUCAAAUGCAACAAUUUUAACAAGGAGAAGCUCAACAAUCAAUCAAGCAAAUUGGAGACAAAAAUGAGACAAGCAUCCAUAUCAACCAGCAAAUCAAAUCAAGUUCAACUUAAAUAUGACAAUUUAGCGGUGCUAUAAAUACAUGUAUAUUUUAUAAUCAGUUCUCUCUCUCUCUCUCUCUCCCUCUCUUUCUCUCUCACACAUACACAUCAUACCGAUCAAAUAUACACACACAUAUAAACCUUUUUCUCCAUCAACGCGUUGGAUUCGCAUUCGCACGCUUCGCCGGCUAAACCAGUCAAAUUGUCUCUAAAUUAAGAAAAGUAACAUACCAACUUUCUAUUAUAAUUGUGUCUCAAGAGCUGAUUGAUCGACUGCAUAAAGAAAAGGAGAGAGAAAAGAUUCACCAAUUGAAUGUGCUUGAGAAAUUGUGCCAAUUACUAUUAGUUGCAGGGUUGGAAUCAAGUAAAGAAGGAGAAUCAACAACAAGAAGAACCUGAAGAAAACAAAUAAUAAGAUGGAAUAAAGAAAAACAAUCAAAGGAAAAAAGGCCAAAGGAGUAGCGUUAUGAAUGCAACAAUUAAAUUGUGGACCAAAAAAUGAAUGGCCUUGAAUUGUUUUUCUCUUCUUAUCCCUUUUCUUUUAAUCGUAAGGGAAUAUAUCAAUUGUUUUCCAACUGGUUAACCUUCAAGGUCUUGAUAAUCUUGCUGAGCGCUGUUUCGUUCUCGUAUUUACUAAUAAUCUUACCUGUUGUGGUUAUUACGAACGUAAAUAACAUCUACUUAAUAUACAGAACGUAACAUUUGUUAUCAUGAUAAUAACAUUAUUAUAUUAGCAACAAAAUGUAUCAAAAAAAAUCAACCGAGAGAAAGAAAAUUUUUAUUGGAAUUGAACUUUUUUUUCCAUACCCAUUGAAAUCCAUUGA